GCCCGGAUGGCGAAACUGGUAGACGCAUCGGACUUAAAAUCCGCCGGGGGUAACCCCAUGCCGGUUCGAUUCCGGCUCCGGGCACCA
rnacentral:tRNA from 1 species